rnacentral:lncRNA from 1 species
GCAUGAUUAAUGUGAGCAAUGCAGAGGAAAAUCAAGUAUAUUUACAUGAAUUUCUAUCUUAUUUUACUCCCUAUGAUGUGAUUAAUCAAACAAAUGGAGAUUUGGAGUGAAAAAAUAGAUUGAGAAUAUAGGAUUUUUUGGUGAAAGGUUUGGUUGAAAACCAACUAUGACAACAAUAGAUGUGUGAUCAUGCAUCUGUUUCUUUUAUUAGAUAUUUCUGGAGAUGCAUCUCUAGAAAUAUCUGACAUGCAAAGG